rfam:Triticum urartu cultivar G1812 contig974769, whole genome shotgun sequence.
CAUCUACUCCCUCCGUCCGAAAAAGCUUGUCUCUCAAAUGAAUGUAUCUAGCACCAGUUAGUGCUAAAUACAUCAAUUUGAGAGAUAAACUUGGGACAAACUUUUUUGGACGAAGGGAGUAUUAG